UACGGAGGGGGCUAGCGUUGCUCGGAAUGACUGGGCGUAAAGGGCGCGUAGGCGGACGGGUUAGUCAGGGGUGAAAGUCCUGGGCUUAACCUGGGGACUGCGCUUGAUACGGGUUUUCUUGAGUGGGGAAGAGGAUAGUGGAAUUCCCAGUGUAGAGGUGAAAUUCGUAGAUAUUGGGAAGAACACCGGUGGCGAAGGCGGCUACCUGGUCCUUGACUGACGCUGAGGCGCGAAAGCGAGGGGAGCAAACAGG
rnacentral:rRNA from 1 species